GGAAGGAGCAGAGGCCAGCAGAGCUGCCCGGAAGAUGCUCAGACCAGCUGAGGUGCCUGGAAAGGACACUCUCUAACCUGUUGAGCUGCUACAGGCUGUGGAGUGUGCUCCAGGUUCCCAGCUUUGUGAGCGGUCACCCACACUGAAACGGGCUUUGGCGAUGUAGCUGUCUUUGAGUCAUUUCUGUUCCUAUAAGCAAUCCCUCACCUAUAUUCCUAUAAGUAACCCCAGUCAAGUUCAUUGGCUCAUAAGUUGGACUUUGGUGGUAUCUGUACUUUGGGUGAGGAGACCUGUGUGCCACGUCUCCCCAGGGAUAGUCUGUAACCCAACCCCUAUCAAGCCCGUGGCGCAGCACCUUAUGAGCACUGUCCAAGAGCAACCGGCCUAUCACAGUCCUAGAAGGUAAAGGGGGGCGGCAGAGAACAUGAUAAAAACAGGUGGCUAAUGUAUUUAUUAAAGGCCAGUUUAAAACUCCUAAAAGAAGACAGAGGUGAACCAUAUGAUUUUACAGUGCUAACAAAAAAAAUCUUUUUUUUUCUUCCCCAGCUUGUAUUCAGAAUAGUCAGAGGCACAGAACCCAGAGAACAAAAUGCCAGCUUGUUACAGACAGGGCUGCUUGGGGAACAUAGCUUAGGCCGGCAGAGCUGAUCCCUGUGGUGCUGAAAACAGACAUCUAUAAGCCCAGCCCUCCCCUGAAGCUUGUCAGGGCUGUCUUCAGGUGCUUGCCCCGCUUGCAACCCUUCCUCCACUCUUACCAGUCAGCUCCAGCUCUGAUGGAGACCUCCCCUUUCCCAACAGAGGCACAAGCAGCUAUCUGCCCCCCC
rnacentral:lncRNA from 1 species